UUUAUUUACUAUAAAAAGUAACGAACAUAGUUAUCAUUUAUUUACUAUAAAAAGUAACGACAAUACGGCUAAAUAUCGAUAUUAAUCCCUUUUUUAUUUAUACCUGCCGGCUAAUCUAAUAAUAAUAAUGUCACUAAAGCUUUUACACCUUUCAUUUUCUAUAUUAUUAAUACAUAUAGGAGUAUUUUAUAUACAUUUUUCUAUAUUGCAAAACCCAAAAAAAUCGAUUACUCUGGGGUCAAUUUGGGGGAAAGGCGAUGACGAUUCCAACGGCGUUGAUCCGAUUUUGAGCUUCGACGACAUGGAUAUAAGGGACGAUCUACAACUACGGCUUCGAGGCACCGGAAAAACUUCCAUGAUCACGCUCUCUGUUUGCCAGAUUGUCGAUACCAAGUCUUCAGAGAACAUUCCGUGAUUUAUUUUUAUUUUUUUAUAAAAACGGUGGAUGAUUAUAACUAGGUGGUCUUAAUCUUUGCUAUCCUUCCAAAUGAUAUAUUGGAGAUCACAAGCAAAUUCAUGACUGACCCAGUUUGUAUCCUUGUAAAGUGACGGUAUUCAUUGAACUCUUAAGGGCAUUAAACAAUUCUUUGUAUCUGUAGAAAGAGAAGAGUAGAGUGGAAAUUUGAUACUCUAUGUGAUUUAUAUGAUACCGUUACAAUCACCCAGGCUGUAUUUUGUUUUUUAACUUGUCUUA